ensembl:rRNA 5S_rRNA 5S ribosomal RNA
GACCACAGCCAUAUCACCCUGUAGCCCAAGACUGGUUGCCCACUCAAGCUAAGCAGGGUUGAGCCUGGUCAGUACCUGGAUGGGAGACCUCCUGGGAAAACUAGGUUGCUGUUGGAA